GCGGGCUUGGAAUUAUGAUGCUGUGGGCCCGCAUCAGCGCGUCAAGCGGGUGAUCACGGGGAUCUCCAUCACACCCGCCGGUAUAGCCGCGCCACUACUAAAGUAGGCCGCCAAGAGAAGCCUGCAUUGCUCUUGGUGCUCCGAAUUUUAUAUGUAGUGCGUGCCGCACGCCGUGGAGGGGUGGGUCGUGUUGGACGGCCUAGAAGGUGCGGAACGCCG
rnacentral:sRNA from 12 species